rnacentral:antisense_RNA from 1 species
GCUGGCCAAGACCCCCCAACCGGUGAAGGCGCGCGGGCUGCUUGGGGGUCGUGGCAUUCUGGAUCCCUGCGGAGACCUGGAAUUUUCUUUCUUCUCGCCGCCCCACCUCCCACCACCAUCUCACCCCACCGCCAUGGAGAAGAGGCAGGAAAGGCCGUUGACAAAUGGGGACACUGAGGUUCGAACAGCCCUGCCCUGUCUAGGGCCUCAGCCCUGGGCAGCCCGGCCUCCCGGGGAGCAGGAGGCGCCUUGUGUUUCAGGAUUUCAAAGGACGUCCGCAUCUGGUUUCUCUUUCCAGGCCGCUACAUGCCAGCGGGGGUUCCAGGCAAGGCAGAGUGGAUUCAACCCUGAACGUCACCUGACCAAGGCUGCUGGGCCAAGCUGGAACAGAAUCAGCUCCUUGAGUCUGGGAGGCGGAGGCGGUUCGGGAAUGCAGAGGGCGUGAGAGAGAGAACCAAGGGAGGUGUCCUGGCCGAGUGGCAUUUCCCACAGGACUUCUCAGAGC